UACAGAGGGUGCGAGCGUUAAUCGGAAUUACUGGGCGUAAAGCGCACGUAGGCGGCUUGGUAUGUCGGGUGUGAAAUCCCCGGGCUCAACCUGGGAACUGCAUCCGAAACUGCCUUGCUAGAGUAUGGGAGAGGGAAGUGGAAUUUCCGGUGUAGCGGUGAAAUGCGUAGAUAUCGGGAGGAACACCUGUGGCGAAAGCGGCGCACUGGACCAUAACUGACGCUGAGGCGCGAAAGCUAGGGGAGCAAACAGG
rnacentral:rRNA from 1 species